rnacentral:tRNA from 1 species
GGACCAGUGGCCUAGUGGAUAUGGCGAUAGCCUCCUAAGCUAUAGGUCGGGGGUUCGA